UACAGGGGGGGGCAAGCGUUGUUCGGAAUUACUGGGCGUAAAGGGCUCGUAGGCGGCCAACUAAGUCACACGUGAAAUCCCCAGGCUCAACCUGGGAACUGCGUGUGAUACUGGAUGGCUUGAAUUCGGGAGAGGGAUGCAGAAUUCCAGGUGUAGCGGUGAAAUGCGUAGAUAUCUGGAGGAAUACCGGUGGCGAAGGCGGCAUCCUGGACCGACAUUGACGCUGAGGAGCGAAAGCUAGGGGAGCAAACGGG
rnacentral:rRNA from 1 species